AGCAAUGAUGUUACAAGUAGCACCAGAGCUAUGGAAAAUAUUGAUGAAUACACGAUAGAAUUACUUGAUGUCUCAUCUGGCUUGAACUUCGCUGUUGAUUCAUUCAUCAUCAGCAAGACAAAACUGAACCCAUGCACCACCUACCAAAUAAAUGUCACUGUCAACAGCAGCAUCAUUUGUAGAUUAAAUGGUACCACAACCUCUUUCAAAACCAGAAACAUAGGCAAGGAGGAUGUAUCCCAAAAUGGACCGAGCAAAACGACACAUCAGUUAAAAUUUGUUUUGAGACACACAAGUGGUUGACGUAGGAAUGGUGUUUUGAGGAGAACAGGACUUGUGAGUUGAAAUCAUUUGAGAUAGGUCCGGAGAAUUGUCCUGUCAUCAUAGAGGAUGUCCCACUUGUUGGUCAGAUUGAUCUAUAUUAUGAGAACAAAUACCCUAUUGAGAUUGAAUGGAAAAACAAACCCAGCAACUGUAAUGAUACCUUGGAUUUUAACUGUAAAGGACGAGAUGGUUCAUCAUAUCCGGUUGACAAAU